UGCCCAGUGGACAGGUUUCUGACCAGAGAAAGGAAUGCCCGUGAACUACAGCAAUCUUAGAUGCCCAGGUUACAUUAUCCGAACAGCCCUGAGGCUGAACUGAAGGAAGUCCUCCAGCCUUCGAAGGGGAAAUCUGACACAGCUAGAAAGCAAUGGAAAACACUAAGCGUUGCAUCAGAUAUUGAAGAGGAACUGAUCAUACCGUGGAGAUAAAAAUGAUCUCUUUAAGGAGGAUUUCAAAAAUCUGGUUAUUUCAAGGUAGCAGCCUUUUGGGGGAAAACUAACAAGGGUUCCAGAGGCCAAUUAUCCCUUGUUAGCAACGUUGGCCUCAUGUUAGAAUGAGGAAUAGAUGUGUCUCAACGCUAUCCCUCUUCCAUUCAGUAUAGAUCAGCAAGAGAGGGCUCCAAAUAAAUUUCAUCCUUUUUCAGGAUGUUUCCCUGUCAAGCACAUUCUAGAUUCACUCUGUGGAAAAAUGUCUAUAAUGUGUUUAAUAUGGUUACGAUUUUGCUUUAUUUCUAUUAGGUAAGUGGUUUCCUUUUAUUCUUAACACUGCAUCUAAUAUUAGCUUACAGCGUUACUGGCACUGUAUGUGACCCAGGGGAGAGUUAGAAAGGAAGUAGAAGAUGUGGCCUCAGAGGGCCCAUGGGGGAGAAACAACACAAUAAUGAUAAUUAACAUUUUUAUAACACUUGAAAAUGUAAAAGUCACUUCCCAUUACUUUACCUCAUUAAUUUUCUCCACAAAUACGUUGUGUAGGCUUUACUAUCUCCAUUUUACAAAUGAGGACAGUGAAGCUUGAAGUAGGAGGGACUUCCCCAAGAUCACAUUCCAGUAAAAAGUGUGAUCUUAGAAAUCAUAUUCUGACUCUAAAACUCUAUCAUAUUCCAUUGAAAAUUGGCAAUUAUACUCCAAUAUCUGUGUAAGUACGUGCUGAUAAGACUUCAUGAAUGAUCAUGGUGGAAUGGGGUUCCUCAGGGAUGCUUUCUUGGGAGAGGGUGCAGUGCACAUGGAUGACUGAAGGAAUCAAAGUCUCUCCUGCUGGGGGGAGAAAGGUGGAAAAUUACAUGAGAGGAGAACAAGGGCAGGAAUGAGCUGAACAUGUGGAUCAGGGGAAGGAGACAGAUCUUCCCAGGCAGAAGAACCAUGACUGAGAAUAACGAGGCAAGUCUAGGAGAUAUUGGUGAUGUGAAUAUAAGGGGUAAGGGAAACAUAACACCUGGAAUUUUCUUUCCAUUGCCUCAAGGAGCCCGGCACUCCUGGUUCACAACAGAAAUUGCCAUGAGCACUCCUAAGAACAUGUUCUGCACUGGUGCCUCAAUGGGUAGAAAAGGGGGUUGCCAAGUGAGUUAUAUAUAGAAGUUGUGCAAGGGAAGUUCUUAUGCAAAAUGACUAAACAUGCUUCAUUGCCCUGCCUGGUUACUUAUAAACGUUGUGUAUGUGUAGAAGUUGAUGGGAGUCCAGACAUUGUCUAAGAGAUUUCUCAGAGUAAAAUGAGAAUAAAGUUGUUCUAAAACACAAA